CAGGCACUGGGGGUUAUUCUGUAUGUUGGUAAAUUGAACACCAAUAAAAAAAAAAAAAAAAAAAAAGAAACCUUAAGGAGAAUUUGGAGUGUUACAGGAAGAAACAGGAUGUCACUGCCAAGCAUUUGCCAUCUUUUUUGCCCUCCCACUCCUGCACUCUCCUCUCUAUUUCUCAGGAACAAAGGCCUUAUCUUACAAGGAUGAUUUCUUCUCUUUCUUUUAAGCCAUGAAACCCACCUCAAGUGGACUUAUUAUGGCAAUUUCUGAAUAAAGAAGGCCCUCUUCCUAAGGAUAAACAGUAUUGCUGCUUACAAGAAAGCUUGAGUUACAACAUUCUUCUUGAACACUGAUGGAAAUGUCUAACUAAGCUGGGCUACUGUUCCUCAGAGAUGCCUGCUCUUGAGAGUCAGCUGAAUUCUCAGAAUGAAGUUCUGGUCAUCAGAAUUCAAGAGUUUCCUGUAUUUGCUGAGUUCUCUCCAGGAGGCACCUCAGAUCCUCCCAACACCAUGAUGUUUGGGGGAACCUCAAGUCACUCCAUGGAACUAGAGAGAUGGUGAAAAGGAAAGCAUGGAAGAUGAAGCUGAAGAAAUGAGGAGCCAGGUCAUAAGUGUAACUGUGAAGAUAAAACACACUAAUAAUAAUCAGGAAGGUUGAAAAAAUGUUAAACAUCUGCAACAAUGCAAGCUAUUCCACAACUGUAUUUUAUAACAUCUCUUUGAAAUAGCUGAAUAAGUUCCUUCCUUUCCUCAGCAUGAUGCCUACAGCUUAAGGUUGGUACAAAGCUUCACAGAACAGAGAUAGAUAGUUAGGAAUCUGAAAACAGCAUUUCUCAAGGUAUGUUCUAGGAACACUAGUCCAGUCAUAUAUUCCAUUAAGUGAAAUAAAAAACAGAAAGUGUAAGUGGUCAAAUAAUAUGUCAAUAUGUAUAUUAGUGCAAUAAAACUUACAAACUGAAAAUUUUUGCAAUAAAUAAAUAUUUACACAUGACUCAUGUUGAGUUUUCUUACCACAAAGAAAUAAAACCAAAGGACACAAGGAAACUCUUGGGGGUACUGGAUAUGUCCAUUACCAUGAUUAUAGUAAGGAUGUGAUGGCAGUUUGCCUAUGCUCAGACUCAUCCAGUUUUGCACAUUAAAGAUGUUCAAUCCUUCUUAUAUCAGUUAUACUUAUUAAAAAAUGUUUUUAAAAAGAGAAAUACUUGGACCCCCUGGCUAACUCAGUCAGAACAGCAUGUGACCCUUGAUCCUAGGAUGGUGGGUCUGAGCCCUGUACUGGGUGUAGAGAUUAAAGGAAAGAAAAAAAGGAAGGAAGGAAGGAAGGAAGGAAGGAAGGAAGGAAGGAAGGAAGGAAGGAAGGAAGGAAGAAAAGAAAAGAAGAAAAGAAAAAAAAAAGAAAGACAAAGAUAAGGGAAAAAAGAAAAGAGAACAAAAACGGGAAGGAAAGGAAAAGAAAGAAAGAACGAAAAGGAAAGAGGAAAGGAAAGAAAAAAGGGGGAAAAACAGGAAAAAAAGGAAGGAAGGAGGAAGGAAGAAAAGAAAAAAAGAAAGAAAG
rnacentral:lncRNA from 1 species